CCGGAGUUGCCAAGGCAAAUUGAUUGUUUAUAUGAAAAAACAAGUUGUGUUGAUUCCCGCAUAGAAAAUUACCAUUCUUUAAACUAGACAAACUGUUCCAAGAGUAUAUUGGAAACGGUUACAUAUUUCGGUUAUGGUUAUGGUUAUUUUCCAAUCUAGCACUUGGAAAUAACAAUCCUGUUGGAACCAAUGCACAUCAACCAGCAACGGCAUCGCUCGGGAAAUUUAAACAGUAGAACAGAAUCGAAUUUACAAUAGGAGGGGAAAAUAUCGUCCUGAUUAGUGCAGUUACUCGAAAUUAUGUACGGGCUACAUCUUUCAACUGUAGUGCAUAGUGCGAACGCGAAAUUGGUUCCGAGAAAGAACAAAAGAUUGGUUUUGUCAACUACUUUCACUCCCCCAUUGCCUGGAAAUAGUUCAACAUGACUGCCGCUGGAUGUGCAAUUUUGAAAAGCAGAUAUUUGUUGUAGUACGACCUUAUGGAGUAAAUAAAUUUCAUAUAUUCUGUACUA